AAAAGCAGAAGAUCGUCCGGAUAUAGUAAGCAGGGUUUUCAAGAUGAAAGUUAACGCAUUAAUGGCAGAUAUUAAAAAAGGAAACUAUUUUGGGAGAACUAUAGCUGGUACACUUCUAUUUUAUAUAUUUUUUGUUCUUUACUAAAAAAAUUCCUUCUUUAUUUGCUUCUUACCGUUCUUCUUUUUUUCACCAUGUAGAUUUGUAUACAAUUGAAUUUCAAAAAAGAGGUCUCCCUCAUGUGCAUAUCUUAGUUUGGUUACAUCCAGAUCAUAAGUUGCCAACAACUACGGACAUAGAUUCAAUUAUUUUUGCCGAAAUACCAGAUAAAGAUAUUGAUCCAAUUGGAUAUGCCACUGUUUCAAAAUUUAUGAUACAUGGACCGUGUGGCUCUGCAAAUUCUAAAGCACCGUGUAUGGUUAAAGGUCGAUGCUCAAAACAUUUUCCAAAAGAAUUCAGAAAUGAAACAACUGUGGAUGAUAGCGGAUUCGCUAUUUAUAGAAGAAGAAACAAUGAAAGGUUCGUCACAAAAAAGGGCAUUAAUCUUGACAACAGAUAUGUUGUGCCGCACAACUUGACGUUAGUAGUUAAAUAUCAAGCUCAUAUUAAUGUUGAGUGGUGCAACAAAUCAAGAUUAAUAAAAUAUUUAUUUAAGUACAUCAAUAAGGGUUCAGAUAGAACAAGGGCUGUAAUAGAGGACAACUAUUUGUGCAACAAUGGUUGUCGUGAUGUACAAUAUAAGCAGAUUGACGAGAUUAAAAGAUACUUGGAUUGUAGAUAUUUAUCGGCGUAUGAAGCUGUUUGGAGAUUAUAUCAAUUUGAUAUACACUCUAGAGAACCUACAGUUGAACGAUUGACUUUACAUUUGCCGCUGAUGAAUAAUGUGACAUAUCAUGAAAGUCAAAACUUAGUUGAUGUUCUAGAUCGAUGCAAUGUCGAGAAAACAAUGUUUACUGAGUGGAUGGAAACAAAUGCAAAUUAUGAUGAUGCCCGCGAACUAACUUACGCAGAAUUUCCAACAAAAUGGGUUUGGCAUUCAACUGACAAAAUAUGGACAAGACGUAAAAAAGGAAAUCGAAUUGGAAGAAUUAUUUAUAUUCAUCCAAAUGCCGGUGAGCUUUAUUUUUUAAGAAUGCUACUGAAUAAGGUUAAAGGGCCGAGAAAUUAUAUUGAAAUUAGAACUGUUGACAAUAUUGUGUAUGAAACAUACCGCGCUGCAUGUGAUGCACUUGGAUUGCUGGGUAAUGACAUAGAAUGGCGCGAAGCAAUAGAGGAAGCAUCUCAUUGGUCUUCUCCUGCUGAUUUGAGACAACUUUUUGUUACUUUGGUUAUGUUUUGUGAGGUAGCUGAUCCUGUAAAAUUGUGGAAUGAUUUUUGGAAACUCUUUGCGGACGAUAUUUUAUAUAGAUUAAAGGAAGUAUUGGAAGUUCGUGAACUGCGAAUACCAGAAUUACAGUUACAAAAUUACAUUUUAUUUGAGCUAGAAGUGUUGUUCAAUAAAAGUUGCAGCUCCCUCUCUCAGUUCAAUCUACCAAUUCUUGAUAGAUUGAUUUUGGAAGAUAUGAGUAACAAGUUGUUGAGAGAAGAAUUAGAUUAUGAUGCGGAUGCUUUAAAAUGUGAACAUACAAGGUUAUUUAGCGAAUUGAAUGAUGAGCAGAAGAGUAUAUAUAACUAUGUUUUGACUUCUAUUUAUGAAGAUANUUCAAUCUACCAAUUCCUGAUAGAUUGAUUUUGGAAGAUAUGAGUAACAAGUUGUUGAGAGAAGAAUUAGAUUAUGAUGCAGUACAAGGUUAUUUAGCGAAUUGAAUGAUGAGCAGAAGAGUAUAUAUAACUAUGUUUUGACUUCCAUUUAUGAAGAUAAAGGAGAUGCGAUUUUCGUAUAUGGUUAUGGUGGAACAGGAAAAACUUAUUUAUGGCAGACAAAAUCUCAAAACUUCGUUCAGAAGGGAAAAUAGUUUUGGCUGUUGCAUCAUCUGGAAUUGCUUCGUUUCUACUUCCUGGUGGGAGAACGGCUCAUUCUAGAUUCAAGAUACCUAUAAAAGUAGAUGAGUUCUCAACAUGUGAAAUUAAAAAAGGAACUCAACUCGCAAAAUUACUUGAUCGCACUAGCUUAAUUAUAUGGGAUGAAGCACCGAUGAACCAUAGAAAUUGUUUUGAAGCUUUAGAUAAAUCAUUAAGAGAUAUUUUACAAACAGAUACUGGAGAUGUUCAACAAAAGUUAUUUGGCGGCAAAACUAUUGUAUUCGGAGGGGAUUUUCGUCAAAUACUUCCUGUUAUUAUUGGCGGCACGAGACAGGAUAUAGUUAAUGCAGCAAUCACUAGGUCAUAUAUUUGGGAUAGUUGUAGAGUCUUUCAACUAUCAACAAAUAUGAGAUUGCUUAAAUGCUCAGAGAAUGAGAUGUCAAAAAAGGAAUUGGCGGACUUCGCAAAAUGGAUUCUAGAUUUGGGUAAUGGAAAAUUAGAUGCCAUCAAAUUAGACAAUGAAGAAGAGGCUACUUGGAUCAAGAUACCAGAUGAUUUGCUCAUAAAAAGUAGUGGAGAUGGUAUUAAAGAUAUUGUUUCUACAGUAUAUGAUGACCUUCAAGGAAAUUACAAAAAUAUCACGUACUUAAGAGAUAGAGCUAUUAUCACACCAAUGAAUGAAACAGUUGAUGAAAUAAAUAAUUAUGUCUUAUCUUUAUUGCCGAAUGAAGAGAAAGUAUACAUGAGUUCCGAUUCAAUUUGUAGCUCCUCAAAAAAUGCUGAUGACAAUGAUGUUCUCUAUCCAGUUGAAUUCUUAAAUUCUAUAAAGGUUAAUGGUGUGCCUCACCAUGAACUAAAAUUGAAAAUAGGAAGUCCGAUAAUGUUGCUACGUAAUAUUAGCCAAGGUUCUGGACUGUGUAAUGGAACUCGCUUAAUUGUUACUCAAUUGGCUUCGAAAGUUAUUAAGGCACAGAUAUUCACUGGAAAUCAUGCAGGUGAAAAAGUGUCACGCCCCGGGGCCGAUUUUCAAAGCCAUUUUGAAAAUUCAUUACCAUUUUGAAAACUCAGAGUCGCGGAAGAUGUACUUUUUUUUUUCUUUUUUUUUUCAACCUGGCCCACGUGACGUACAGACCCGCCACAAAUACAAAGUUCCUCUGUCCACUCGGACAGAGUCUCCUUUGUAUUUGCACGGCGUACCAACGAUACAACAGGAUCACAACCACAACCUACAAUUACCAAUCAACAACCAAAAUGAUAUGCAUUCUCAUACAGCUAACAAUCCUUAGAGAUGAUGCAUGCCUCUAAGCACUCCUUAGGCGUUGGAUGAUGCAAUGCACAGUACAACAAUCAUCCUAUUUAAAAGUGCUCCCCACACGGAAGCUUUUGUUUUUAAACUCUAAUUCAUUCAUUCAUGAAAACCAUUCGAAAACCUUUUUAAAACUGUUUCCCACACGGAAACUCUAUUUUGAAAACCAGCUACCUCGAGGGGUAGAAAUCCACAAAGCGUAUAAAUCCAAUCUGAAACUAAGGAUCCAAAACCACGUAUCUGAAAACUCCAAUCUCAUGCAUACGAGGAAAACCAACUCAUUCAAACAAUCAUAAGAUCAUCUAAUCAUGCAUAACGGAAAUCACAACAUUCAAACAUCUAACUGAACCAUUUAUUUAAAUGACUACUAAAGGCAGGAAAGAAAUACAACCAGGGUGGCGAUCGCUAUACCAGACUAGCUAGAUCGUCCUCUNACGAAAAUUACUGAAACAACGGAUGAUGUUGAAUCAAUUCCAUCUCAUUGCUUUCAUUUUUCGAGUUUUGAUUAUAUUAAAGGUAAAAGAAACAAUGACUCCUGCCUUUUAGGUAACACCAUUUUCUUCUUCCUUUUAAUUCUUUCAUUUUAUUAAAGCAACACAAUAUACUUAUUCUGCAAUAACAUUCUGUUAACCCUCAUGUUGAUUAGAUGUGCUGGGAAGUAUUGCUACUAUUUGUCCUAUUUCUUAUACAUAUGUUGGUCAUGAGCUUACUCCAAUAAGAAAUAUGGAGAUAAAAGAUUUAGAGUAAGUUGAAUACUAUUUUAGCAUCUAAUUGUGUAACUUUAAUUCUUACCAUAUGUGAAACAAUUUAACUUAAAUAGUGAAAACAUUGUAGGGAUAAUACUUUUCCAGUGACUUUAUGGGACAAAUUUGCUAUGGAAUUUGAUGAAAAUAUAAUUUACGAAAAAGAAGCUGCUGGACCGGUUGUAGCUGCUGGACCGGUUGUAAUUAUCUUCGCAAGUAUGAGCGUGCGAAUGUAUAAAGGUUUGUCCAAUGUUUGCUUAUCUUAUAAUUGUUUGCAUUUAUUUCCAUCGCUAUUUAUGGUUCUUACACUUAUAUUUUACAUCUAUAUCCAGAGAAGCUAUAUCUGUCGACAUGUUCAGCAUCAAGGUUUUACAUUAAUUUGGACAUACCAGAAGUUACAACAUUUCGAAAUGCAUUGGAUAGGUAAGUAUCAUUAUCUGUAUAGUUUAUUCGAGUAUUUUUCAUAACUUACUUUUAUAGAUACUUUAAUGCAGAAGCCAACUACCUAUUGCACCAAUUAAACAUAUUGAAGCGGCACAACAACUAACUAUUAGCCCAUAUGAACAAAUGCUUAAGAAUCGUAAAACUGUUGCUGAAUUACUUGCAUUAAAUCCAAUGGAAGCUGAGGUAAAUAUAUUUAGAAUAUCUUUAAAUUGCCAAUUUUAUUCUUUCUCUUAUAUUCUCUACAAAUUGCUAUAUAUAUUAUUAAUUCAACAUAUAAUUGAAUAGAUGUAAUCUGUCAAGCUAAAUUAGUAGAAAUUGAUACGAUAUAUGGGUGGUGGUACAAGGCCUGCUAUGAUUGUAAAGGAGGAGUAAAAGAUUAUGAUGAUACUUUUUGGUGUAAUCAAUGUGGAAAAAAUGAUCAGUCACCUGUACCAUGGUACAUUUCUAAACCCAAAUACUACAAUUUCAAACAUGAAAUAUUCCUUUUUAAUUCGAAAAUUAUAUUAUCAUGUACUAAAUUAAUAUAGAGAUCAUUUUGAAAAAAAGGUACAAGUUAAAUGCCAUUGUUGCGGAUGAGACCAGUUCAGCGAACUUCACUAUUUUUGGCAAAACGGCGCAAGAUUUGAUACGAGUCCCUGCUCAACAACUUGCUACUGCAAUCAAUUCAAAUAGAUUUAUACUACCUCCUAUUAUUAAAAAUAUUGUUGGUCAAACUUUUAUUUUUCAAAUUUCGCUUGAGUCACGCAAAUUUAAUACAACUAUGCAAUCAUUCAAAGUCACAAAAAUUUUUCAAUCUGCUUUGACUGCAAAAAUCAAAAUAGAAGAAAAGGAAGAAGAUAUCAUAGACAUUACAGAAGAUGGUGCAGGGACAAGUCCUAAAGAAUUGCAAAUAGCGUAAGAAAAUAUCUCUAAUAUCUUUUUUCCUUUACGUACUUUCUUAAGUGUUUUACUCAAAAAAUUGAUUUAUUUCAAUUCUUUUGCAUGUAAUUUUUUUUUUCUUAUUGUGAUGUGAAGUUCAAAAUCCUAUCUGGAGGAAGCUGUGAAGGAAUCAAGAGGCAAAAGGAGAGUACUUAGGUAAUUCAUUGAUGACUAUAUAUUAAAUUAUAAAAAGUACAUAUAUUUGAGCAUUAUACCAAAAAUAAUAUUUAUUGACUUUCUUUUCUACGUGCAUUUCUGUAAAUUAUCCUUAUAAAAAGUUCUCAGCUGAAGUCAGAGGAAGCUAUUAAUCAAUCAAAGGGAAAAAGAAAAUUACGCAGGUAACAAUUAUAUUAAUAUUGUUUUGGAAAAGUGGUCAAUGCUUAUUUUAUUUUUCAAUUGAAAUGAACAUAAAAUAACUGGCAUUUGUUUUCUGUUUUGUAGUUACAUUGAGAGUUCUGAAUCUGAUGGAGAAGAAAAAUGAAGUCACAACAACUAUUUUCUAAGUGAUGUUGAAUUUGUAGGUGCAACUUAUUUUCUACUCAAAUGCUAAACAUUUUGCAUAUACGGAUCCAAUCGUCUUUUUCCUCCUCUUUUCUAAGUCCCCUCAAAAUUAAUGCCAAGAUCCAACACUUCUUGUGACCACUUCCUUUCUAUUGUUGUUUGCUGUAAUUUGUGCAAGAAAAUUUGUACUUUUGCUUUCUGGGUUUGCAGUCUAUUUUGAGUUAAUUGAAAGUUAAUGUUGUCUAUUUCAAAAAUCUAUUUGGCAAAGUAAUUGGUGUUUCUAUUUUUAUUUAUUGUUCUGUUUUCUUUCUCUAUCUGUCUUUAUGCUAGAAUAAAUAGAUAUUUUGAAGAUCAUUAGAAAAUGCUUUGAUUAUUUUAUAGGUUGUGUCAUGCUAUGAAGAUACUUCUUUUCUGAGAGGAAUUGGGGGAAGCGUCAAUCUUGAUGGUUGGCUCUUGGAAUAUUCUUCCAGAUUAUUAUUUUCUCUUGAUGGUCUACUUCUUAUGUUAUUGCCCUAUUCUUUUUGUAGCAUCAAAAUAUUUCCUUCGUUUUUUCUAAUUUCCCAUUCGAUUGGUAGUUUUUCCUUCUAUUUCAUUUAUUUAAGGAAUGGAAUGGUAGGCUGUGAAGUAUGCACAAUAAAAUAUUAAUUUGAAUUGCUUUCUUCUUCUUUUUUUCUUUUUUUUUUUUAAUGUUUGAUUUGAGAGAUUGACGAUAUGGAACGUUCCAUGGACAAUCCGAGUCGAUCCGGUAAACUGCUAGGAAGGUUUAUCCUAUCUUUAUAUAAUAGUAAAUAUAGUAAUUGGCUGGGCUACUUUCCCCAGGAAGGGAAGCAGAAUGGGAUUCAUGCAUCGAAGCAUUAUUGGGGAUUUUCGAACUAAUGCUGCAUCUGAUCUGCUAAUAGAAUCUGAUAUUAUAUCUGUUCCUCGAACAGGUGAAUCAUAAAUUUUAUUAUUUAUAAAUUUUUUACUUUAGCAGUAACUACCCGCCGCAUCGCGCGGGUACCUACACUAGUGAGAUCUAGUUCAGAUUGCCUCGGCUAGCAGCUAAACUUUCAGGGUUGUAGCUUUUGUUUCACCUUCGUGCCUCGCGAGGCACGAAGGCUUUCGUGGGGUCUGCGUGAGUAUAUAUAUAUAUAUAUAUAUAUAUAUAUAGAGAGAGAGAGAGAGAGAGAGAGAGAGAGAGUACAAGUGUGUGGGGGGCGUUAUCUAGUGGUCACCUUUUUCCAUCUCAUCUUUUUUAUUCUUUUUGCAUUAAAAUGUGAGGGGAGGGGGUUAGUUUGCUUGCAAACAAAACAAACUCGUGAGCCGAAAAAGAACCUGAUCCACGCCCCUUUCCUUCGAGGUGGAGAAAUCAACUACCACUUCCCAGACGGAGAGAGAGAGAGAGGUUUCCAUACUCUUCGUCUUUUUCUUUUUUUUUUUCUUAUCUUACACUUUACAACAAAAUACAAUAACCAAGUUUAACACUCUUGUUAAUACCGACCGUCCCUAGUACAAAUGGUAAAAGACUUAUGGUUAAUAUUCGAGAUCUCAAGUUCGAAUUUUAUCCAUCGGCUCGGUGAUUGGUAUUUGAGAUUCGAAGUUUGANUAGGGCUAGAAUACUUUUACAAGUAUCACCCAAGUGAUACUUGUGUGUUUUUAGCCCUUGGAUGGAGAGAUGUGAGGUUGAGAUGAUGGUGGUAGGUGGUGGUAGGUGGAAUAGUAUUUGAUCCAAGGGCUAUGUGUAAUCAAAAAGUAAAUCCAAUGGCUAAAAACGUGAUAGCAACAUGGGGAUGAUACUUGUAAAAGUAUCCUAGAUCAACUCUAUAAAUAUAUAUAUAUAUAUAUAUAUAUAUAUAUAUAUAUAUAUAUAUAUGAGUCCGGCUAGGGUACUAUCGAUAGCACUAAGGAUUUGGUGCUAUCGAGUUUUUCACUGUUAAAUUUAACCCUUUGAGUAUUUUUACCCGUUAGAGUAUACUAUUUAACCAACCACUUACUCAACCCUAGAGGGCCCACAUCAUCAUAACCGCACAUUUCUCAAUCCAGGGGCUAAAAAAUUAAUAGCACCAAUAACUUGGUACUAUUGAUAGUAUUCCAACCUAGUUCUCACUCUCUAUAUAUAUAAUGCAUCAAAAUUAAAAAUAUAAAAUUGAAUUUGCGCUUUUGAGGCGAGUAAAGCCAAAGAGGUUUACGAGUGCUUUUUGGAAAAGCUCCUUUAAUUAAGCAAAAUAAGCCGUGAUCAAGCAGUGAGCUCUCCCUUAAUUAAAUGUGUUUGCAGUGGAAGAGGCCAUGAAUAGUCGAUAUCCCUGUAACCCUAUUGCAAGACCCAAACAAUGAGCCUCCACAGUGACCUCAACAAGAAAACAAAAACCCCUAAUAAAUGCUCGUGAUGCUUUUGAGCUUUCCAACGAAUCAUCAUCUGUUGAAACAUCACAUUCCAUCUCUCCAUCAGUCAAACAGGGACUUAAAUACUCGCCCAUCAAAUAAUAUAAAUAAAUAAUAAAUAAAUAUAUAUAUAUAAAGGACUUAGGUUUUUUCACUUCUUAACUUUUGGAUCAAGGACAGUAUAAUUAGAAUGAUAGUAGACCCCUAUAUAAGGUUGAGUUAAUAAUUUGAAACAACCAACUCUUUUAUAUUUUCGAAAAAAUCAUAGUAGAAUAUAUAUAUAUAUAUAUAUAUAUAUAUGUAUAUAGGCCAAUUUGCAUAAAAAAUCCACUUAUUUUGGGAUUUUGCAAAACCGGGCCACCUUUUUCCUUUUUGCAGAUUCGGUCCGCUUUUUCCGCCGCCUGACCAAAAUGCCCCUCCUAUACAAUAGCCUCCCGCGUAUUUCUUGACAUACGUAUACUACCCUGCCGUACGUUCUGGCGCGCAUUAAAUGACCCGUUCAAUCUCAGUCAUUUCUCGGAACCCGGACAACAUCCGCCCCCGCUAUUCGCCGGCCCCGCUGUUUCCUGUUUGGCUUUAAUUCUUUAAUACAAUAAUUCACGAUAAAUGAGAAAAUAUGCACGGCCCGAGUAGGGAUAAUAGUGCAACGCAAAGUGAAACGUCCGAAAAAAUGGUACAACUGCCAUUAUAACAGUGCAUCGCUAGGUCGCACCAGUGCAACCUCUCCAAAAUCAGUCAAAAUUUUACUUUCUCUAUUCCUUAAUAUAAUCUCAAC
rnacentral:lncRNA from 1 species